AGCGGCGGACGGGUGCGUAACACGUGGGUAACCUGCCCCUAUCACUGGGAUAACACACUGAAAAGUGUGCUAAUACCAGAUAACAUAAGCUUUUGGCAUCAUUAGCUUAUCAAAGAAUUUCGGAUAGGGAUGGGCCCGCGUCUGAUUAGCUAGUUGGUGAGGUAACGGCUCACCAAGGCAACGAUCAGUAGCCGACCUGAGAGGGCGAUCGGCCACACUGGAACUGAGACACGGUCCAGACUCCUACGGGAGGCAGCAGUGGGGAAUAUUGCACAAUGGGCGAAAGCCUGAUGCAGCAACGCCGCGUGAGCGAUGAAGGCCUUCGGGUCGUAAAGCUCUGUCCUAUGGGAGGAUAAUGACGGUACCAUAGGAGGAAGCCCCGGCUAACUACGUGCCAGCAGCCGCGGUAAUACGUAGGGGGCAAGCGUUAUCCGGAAUUACUGGGCGUAAAGGGUGCGUAGGCGGUUUAUCAAGUCAGGGGUGAAAGGCUACGGCUCAACCGUAGUGAGCCUCUGAAACUGGUGAACUUGAGUGUAGGAGAGGAAAGUGGAAUUCCCAGUGUAGCGGUGAAAUGCGU
rnacentral:rRNA from 1 species